GAGUAAUGCCUAGGGAUCUGCCCAGUCGAGGGGGAUAACAGUUGGAAACGACUGCUAAUACCGCAUACGCCCUACGGGGGAAAGAGGGGGACCUUCGGGCCUCUCGCGAUUGGAUGAACCUAGGUGGGAUUAGCUAGUUGGUGAGGUAAUGGCUCACCAAGGCGACGAUCCCUAGCUGUUCUGAGAGGAUGAUCAGCCACACUGGGACUGAGACACGGCCCAGACUCCUACGGGAGGCAGCAGUGGGGAAUAUUGCACAAUGGGGGAAACCCUGAUGCAGCCAUGCCGCGUGUGUGAAGAAGGCCUUCGGGUUGUAAAGCACUUUCAGUAGGGAGGAAAGGGUGAGUCUUAAUACGGCUCAUCUGUGACGUUACCUACAGAAGAAGGACCGGCUAACUCCGUGCCAGCAGCCGCGGUAAUACGGAGGGUCCGAGCGUUAAUCGGAAUUACUGGGCGUAAAGCGUGCGCAGGCGGUUUGUUAAGCGAGAUGUGAAAGCCCUGGGCUC
rnacentral:rRNA from 1 species